GUAUUCGUGGCCGAGUGGUUAAGGCGACAGACUUGAGAUCUGUUUGGGUCUCCCCGCGCAGGUUUUAACCCUGCCGACUGCG